GGGAGUUUGCCAUAUUGAAGCUCAAAAAGUUUAUAAGGGAAAAUCUCACUUAGAUUUUCCUAAAUUUCAGGUGGUGAUUCAGCCUCUUUUCUCACACUACAAGAAGAAUUAUCCCUACCUCAAACUGAGGUGUUGGAAUUUGGAGUGCCUCUACUACGGGAAGCUGCUUGGGAGCUCUGUACCAAGGAACAACAGAUAGCUCUGCACCUUGAAUGUGCCUGCUUUCUCCAAGACUUGGCCUGCCGCUGUGGGAGCUGCCAUGGAGGAGACUUUGUCCCUUUUCAUCGUUUUGCAGUUUGUUCUACUAAGAGUUCCAAGGGGACCUCUGGAUUCUGUACUUACAGAGGUGCUGGCUCAGUGCUAACACAAGUGAUCACAGACAAAUUGCAGCUGCCUUCUCCCCAAGAUAGUUUUCAGUUCCAGAUGAAACCAUCCAGAACUCAGGAUGCCUUCUCAAAUGAAUGCUGCAGAACAGAGGAAGAGUUCCUAGAUCAAGUGAAGAGGAAGCUGGCUCAGACCAGCCCUGAGACAGACCUGUUGACCACAAAGCCUUGUCACUGUAAGGAUAUCCUGGAGUUAGUGCUCUCACCCCUCACCCAGCAUUGCUUGGUCAUUGGAGAAACCACCUGUGCAUUUUAUUACCUGCUAGAGGCUGCAGCUGCCUCCUUGGACCUGUCAGAUAGUCACAUGGUGAGCAGGUUCUGCAAUCCACCCUUCAGCUGAGCCUUUUACUGAGCAUUUGAUUGAGAUUUCUUAACAUCAUAACCAUGAGUGAAAAGUGGAAGAAAGUAGGAGAG
rnacentral:lncRNA from 1 species